AGGAAGCACCGGCUAACUCCGUGCCAGCAGCCGCGGUAAUACGGAGGGUGCAAGCGUUGUUCGGAAUUACUGGGCGUAAAGGGCGUGUAGGCGGUGUGGUAAGUCAGAUGUGAAAGCCCUGGGCUUAACCCAGGAAGUGCAUUUGAAACUGCCACGCUUGAGUAUGGGAGAGGAGAGUGGAAUUCCCAGUGUAGAGGUGAAAUUCGUAGAUAUUGGGAGGAACACCCGUGGCGAAGGCGACUCUCUGGACCAAUACUGACGCUGAGGCGCGAAAGCGUGGGGAGCAAACAGGAUUAGAUACCCUGGUAGUCCACGCCGUAAACGAUGAGCACUAGGUGUAGCGGGUAUUGACCCCUGCUGUGCCGUAGCUAACGCA
rnacentral:rRNA from 1 species